UUGCAUGUUAUAAGAAAAAAAAACAGAAUUAUGGAUGUAUUAAACCGAAUAUUUGAUAUAAUUUCGUCAACAUUUGAUGAAUUAAGAACAUUUAUUGAAAGUUUGAAACACAGGAAAGUUCAUACUAAAUAUUGGUUAUCGUGGCUUAAAAUCAUCGUAAUUUAAUAAUGUUAGGCAAAUCCAAAACCGUACACUGACUUAGAGGAGAUGAUAGAGAUGAUAAGAACAAAUUUAAUCUGAAGCGGGAGGUUAUUUAUCCUAUGUAAAUUAGUUUUGGGAUAAAACGUUAAAAAGGUAAAAAUAUAAGGGUAGUAAAAUGAUAUUCAACAAACACAGCAAGGUAGAGUAAACCAUGAUCGCACAAGAUCACUGGCUCACCUGAGGUAAUGCUCUCUGUUUUCCUCACAACUCAGACUCAAUCCUCUGAAACAUUUCAAUGGGAAAAUCAGAGUUUUACAUGAAAUCGUCUUCGAGUUCUUGAAGCGAUUUGUUGCUCGAAGCAAUGUCUUUGUUGGAUGUCAUUUUAUCAGUUACCAUCAACCCCUUGUAGCUCCUCAUCUCUG